rnacentral:rRNA from 1 species
GACAAAGUAGUCAAAGCUAUAGCUGAUGUGUUUCCAAAUGCAGAUAUAUUUACGUUAGUAGCCAAGAAAGAAGUCUGUGAUGAAUUAGGAAUUGAUUGGAAAAAAGUACAUACAUCUUUUAUUCAAAAGAUGCCUUUGGGGACAAAGAAGCAUCGGGCUUAUCUUCCAUUGUUUCCUUUUGCAAUAGAACAAUUUGAUUUGCGGGGAUAUGAUGUGAUUAUAUCUUCAAGUCACGCGGUGGCAAAAGGAGUACUGACAAAAGCCGACCAGUUACAUAUUUGUUAUUGUCAUUCUCCAGUUCGUUAUGUAUGGGAUAUGUAUAACGAAUAUUUGGAAGAAGCAAAUUUGGCUGAAGGAUUCAAGAGCUGGCUUGUAAGGUAUAUGCUACACAAUAUCAGGAAGUGGGAUAUGCUUUCCAGCUUUCGUGUGGAUUAUUUUAUCAGUAAUUCAGAUUAUGUGGGAAGGCGCAUCAAAGAAACUUAUCGCAGGAACUCUGUGACGAUUCACCCUAAUAUUGAUAUUUCUAACUUUGAAUAUUGCAAUGAUAAACAGAAUUACUAUUUAGCGAGUAGCAGACUUGUAGCAUAUAAGAAGAUAGACAUCAUCAUUGAAGCCUUCAAUAGGAUGCCCGAUAAGAAAUUGAUCGUGAUUGGAGUAGACGCGAAACCAAGUGAUCUACCCUUGGCCAGGUUGAAGGACAGGUAACACUGUCUGGAGGACCGAACCGAUAAGCGUUGAAAAGCUUCCGGAUGAGCUGAGGGUGGGGGUGAAAGGCUAAUCAAACUUGGAGAUAGCUCGUACUCCCCGAAAUGCAUUUAGGUGCAGCCUUGCGGGUUACUGAUGUGAGGUAGAGCGACUGAUAAGAUGCGAGGGCUUCACCGCCUAUCAAGUCUUGACAAACUCCGAAUGCGUGUCAGUUCUAUGUCAGGAGUGAGGGCAUGGGUGCUAAGGUCCAUGUCCUAAAGGAGAACAAUCCGGACCAACAGCUAAGGUCCCGAAAUGAAUACUAAGUUGAACUAACGAAGUCAGAUUGCUAAGACAGCUAGGAUGUUGGCUUGGAAGCAGCCAUUCAUUUAAAGAGUGCGUAACAGCUCACUAGUCGAGGAGUUUGGCGUGGAUAAUAAUCGGGCAUUAAGUAUUCUACCGAAGCUUUGGGAUGUGUAAACAUCGGUAGGGGAGCAUUCCACUCCGCGUCGAAGGUGAAGCGUGAGCUUUGCUGGAGCGUGUGGAAAAGCAAAUGUAGGUAUAAGUAACGAUAAAGGGGGUGAGAAACCCCCUCGCCGAAAGACUAAGGUUUCCUGAUCAACGCUAAUCGGAUCAGGGUCAGUCGGGUCCUAAGGCUCAGCCGAACGGCGAUGCCGAUGGCAGAAACGGUUAAUAUUCCGUUACUACCUUCAGGAGUGACGUGGAGACGCAGUAGUGACAGUGCCGCCAUCUGACGGAAUAGAUGGUUGAAGGGUGUAGGAGUCGAUCAUGGCAGGCAAAUCCACCAUGAGAUCCGAACCUGAUAGUAUGCCGCGUCCUUCGGGACAAGGCAAUAGUGCGCGUAAGCAUGCUGCCGAGAAAAUCCGCUAAACUUAAUCCUGCAGGUACCCGUACCGCAAACGGACACACGUAGUCGGGAUGAAUAUUCUAAGGCGCUUGAGUGAUUCACGGUUAAGGAACUAGGCAAACUGACCCUGUAACUUCGGGAUAAAGGGUCCCUACCCUUUUAUGGGAGGGCGCAGAGAAUCGGUCCAGGCAACUGUUUAACAAAAACACAGGGCUGUGCCAAAUCGAAAGAUCCAGUAUACAGCCUGACACCUGCCCGGUGCUGGAAGGUUAAGAGGAGAUGUCAUCGAUAAGAGAAGCGUUGAAUUGAAGCCCCAGUAAACGGCGGCCGUAACUAUAACGGUCCUAAGGUAGCGAAAUUCCUUGUCGGGUAAGUUCCGACCUGCACGAAUGGUGUAAUGAUCUGGACGCUGUCUCAACCGUGAGCUCAGUGAAAUUGUAGUAUCGGUGAAGAUGCCGAUUACCCGCGAUGGGACGAAAAGACCCCGUGAACCUUUACUAUAGCUUAACAUUGAAUUUGGGUAAUUGAUGUGUAGGAUAGGCCGGAGGCUUUGAAGCAGGUACGCCAGUAUUUGUGGAGCCGCUGUUGAAAUACGACCCUUUAUUUGUUUGGAUUCUAACCCGUGGAACGGGGACAUUGAUUGGUGGGUAGUUUGACUGGGGUGGUCGCCUCCAAAAGCGUAACGGAGGCUUCUAAAGGUGCCCUCACGACGAUUGGUAACCGUCGGUAGAGUGUAAUGGCAUAAGGGCGCUUGACUGGGAGACUGACAAGUCGAUCAGGUAGGAAACUAGAGCAUAGUGAUCCGGUGUUUCCGUAUGGAAGGGACAUCGCUCAAAGGAUAAAAGGUACUCCGGGGAUAACAGGCUGAUCCCUCCCAAGAGCUCAUAUCGACGGAGGGGUUUGGCACCUCGAUGUCGGCUCGUCACAUCCUGGGGCUGGAGAAGGUCCCAAGGGUUGGGCUGUUCGCCCAUUAAAGUGGCACGCGAGCUGGGUUCAGAACGUCGUGAGACAGUUCGGUCUCUAUCUAUCGUGGGCGUAUGAAAUUUGCGUGGCUCUGACACUAGUACGAGAGGACCGUGUUGGACAGACCUCUGGUUUGCCGGUUGUGCCGCCAGGUGCAUUGCCGGGUAUCUAAGUCUGGAUCGGAUAAGUGCUGAAAGCAUCUAAGUACGAAGCCGGCCACAAGAUUAGAUUUCUUAGGGUCGUUGU